ensembl:ncRNA lncRNA:CR44186 long non-coding RNA:CR44186
CCUGCGAAUUUUAUUUAAAUUACCUUAAAGUUGGGCACGAUUGUGGAGCGUGAUUCCUGAACGGCCUGUCACAAGCCUUUAACUGGGUCAAGACAUUCGCUCGCCUUGCAAUGGGAGUGGUCGGAAAAAGCACUGAUAACAGCGGAUUUACGGACUCAAUGCAGUACGUAAUGUGACAAGCGGCAAUAAACGGGUAACAAAACAGAGCGAAUCUGUUGUGGAGCUGCUGGUGAAAUAAUCGUUGCUGGGGGUGCUGUUUAUUUUUAUGUGAUGUUUCUUUUGGAGCGCACCAACUGCUUGUUGAGAUUAUGUUUUAUAGCGCUACUUUCAGUCCGCGCAAUCGUAAAUGAUUGCUCGAUCAAAAUAUGUGGUCGCACUCUGGAGAAUUAUAAAACCUGUCAGGUACAAGCAGAUACAUAAUAUAUAUAAUAUAAUCCUAUAAUUCUAUGUCCUGUGACCGAUGUCCAGCAAUUAAUCGGUCACGUAGCGUCAUUUUGGAAUG